rnacentral:rRNA from 1 species
GUCCUGAGAGGGAGUUCCCCCACCCUGGUACUGGGCCACGGACCAGACUCCUACGGGAGGCAGCAGUGAGGAAUAUUGGACAAUGGGGGCAAGCCUGAUCCAGCCAUGCCGCGUGCAGGAUGACGGUCCUAUGGAUUGUAAACUGCUUUUAUACGAGAAGAAACACUGCUUCGUGAAGCAGCUUGACGGUAUCGUAAGAAUAAGGAUCGGCUAACUCCGUGCCAGCAGCCGCGGUAAUACGGAGGAUCCAAGCGUUAUCCGGAAUCAUUGGGUUUAAAGGGUCCGUAGGCGGUUUAAUAAGUCAGUGGUGAAAGCCCAUCGCUCAACGGUGGAACGGCCAUUGAUACUGUUAAACUUGAAUUAUUAGGAAGUAACUAGAAUAUGUAGUGUAGCGGUGAAAUGCUUAGAGAUUACAUGGAAUACCAAUUGCGAAGGCAGGUUACUACUAAUGGAUUGACGCUGAUGGACGAAAGCGUGGGUAGCGAACAGGAUUAGAUACCCUGGUAGUCCACGCCGUAAACGAUGGAUACUAGCUGUUGGAAGCGAUUUCAGUGGCUAAGCGAAAGUGAUAAGUAUCCCACCUGGGGAGUACGUUCGCAAGAAUGAAACUCAAAGGAAUUGACGGGGGCCCGCACAAGCGGUGGAGCAUGUGGUUUAAUUCGAUGAUACGCGAGGAACCUUACCAAGGCUUAAAUGUAGUUUGACCGAUUUGGAAACAGAUCUUUCGCAAGACAAAUUACAAGGUGCUGCAUGGUUGUCGUCAGCUCGUGCCGUGAGGUGUCAGGUUAAGUCCUAUAACGAGCGCAACCCCUGUUGUUAGUUGCCAGCGAGUCAUGUCGG